AAUAAUCGUAAAAUAAUGCCAGAGGUCGAAAUACGCGCAAGCGCAGUUCCUCUUUUUUCUGCCCUUUAGUUUUCCUUUUCUCAUUUCGUAGCGAGUACUCGUUGAAUAAACAUAUACUUCGUGCGGAGCAGUAUUUCAUUCAACUUUAUCCACAUAUGUUUCACGUUUGGAGUUAUUACUGGAUCACGAUGGUGAUACGCCCAGCGCUGAGCGCGAGGUCGGUGCACACGAGAUUAUGUAAUCUCGAUCGGGAUUUGACACUAAGGCGAGACGGCAGACAAAAGAAUGUAAACGUUGAAUUUCCGAAAAAGCGGUAUAUUUAGUCGAUUUCACGGAAUAUCGGUCGCGGUCGAGAGCUUCCGGAUUACUGACGUUGGCUUGGUCUCGCUGCUACUCUUUUGCUGGUUGGCGAACAAAUCUCUGACUUUCGUCAGGCGGAUAUCUUCACGCGAAAUAUUCUGACCUGUGUCAGGCGGAGAUCUUGCCGCGAAUACUCUCGUAAUAGCUCUCGAACCGGUCGUCAAAUUCACGAACGAGAAACGUCGGUUUGGCACAAGAGAUGCUGAGGACCAAGUUCGUGAAACUGGGCGUCGAAAAAUCGUUCGAUCGAGUCACGAACAACGGGCACUUCGCGGUUGACCGAGAGUUGAGCUGAUCGAACUGAGAAGUCUUGCUCGAUAGAGAAUCGUUAGACGACUGUGUGUUUUUCCACUUGUUUGUUCGACUCAUCGGUACAAGAAUCUCCCAUUUUCCGCCAGUUCCGAUCGAACGACGAUUCGAGUUGCCCAUAUAUGGACAUCGCUAGCCGUUUCGACCUGUGUUUGCCGAAAUCCAGAGCACAAUAUUUGUCUCAGAUUCUGACAAACACCGGACGACCGGAGUCCUUACAAAGGCCCGUUGUUUCGUAGAUUAUAAUUCCGUUGCGAAUCUAAUUUUCUUAUGGUCAAUUCCGAACAAUAUCUUACUGUAGAACAAAAUCAAGAAAAAUAGUUUGACAAGAUAAAUCAUCUUGAUUAAUUAUAUGCAUUAGUUGGUUUCAAAAAAGCUUUAUAUAUUUGGGUUUUAGUAAUUAGCGCAAUUUAGUUUAAUCUAUUUUAUGAAAUGCCAGUAAUGAUGACAAUUGACUUGUAUGUGGAUUAUGAGCUGAUACUCCUACGAAAAUUUCAUUAUUUUCAUCUGUGACAGUUUCUGGCCAGUUUCUUUUUUCUACAUGAACAUUUCCAUUUACUUAAAAUUGUUUCACAUCUCGAUAGAACAAAGUAUGUUAUGGAACAUUUCUUUCAGAAUGAUAUUGAGUAUGUUGUCAUUGAAUUCGUCAUGAGGAGGAUUACAAACGGAAGUAUUUAAAAGGUAGGGUCACAUUAAAAAUUAUGAAGGUGAUUAUUUCAUUAUUUCACCUUGACAUUCACUGCAAGGCUAAACUAUUAGCAUUACCAUACGUUUUUUUAAAACCUACAAUUUUUGUCUAAAACAGUUCUUUCCAGUUUGCAUUUUUUAAUAUAUUUAAGCGUCUCAAAUUAAAUGCCACAUCCUACAUAUGUAAUAACAUCAUAAUCAACAUUCUAAACAUAAAAAAAGAAGGCUGAAUGUUGCGUGCUUUAUAUCUACUUGCUCUAUUCUAUUAAGCUAUCACGCAAGAUUUCUACUCGAUUUUUAUUGUUUUAAUUAUUGCUGUAUGGAGUACAUGAAGGUGAAGUAAGAUACUGACGCACUCACCAGCUGUAAACAAGUAAAGUUCCUGUUUGUGUUACUUGAACAAGAUAUACGAUAUUACACAUGUGAUGUAUUGGGCCAGUUAAAAUGUUCAGAUGAAUUUUCAAUUUUUCAAAUCAAUUUACAUGUAAUAUGGGCAACAAUGCUGAUAUUAUCUAUAUUGCAGGCAACAAUUACUUGGUUAAUGAAUGAAUAACAUAUUUGGUUGAUGUUCCUAAUGAAUAAUAUAGUAAACUUUCAUGCAAAAAUCGAACAUUUUUACUCUUCCAAUAUAUAAUCAUAUCCUAUUGUAAAUGUGUUAAUUUACAAAUAACACAUCAAUGAGAUGACUCUUAACUAAAAAAUGUCUUCAUAAUACGUGUAAUAUAUUUAUAUAAUAUUGUUGUUGGAGCAAGUUUUGCAUGCUUUCAUUCAAUAUAACAAUUUAUUAGA
rnacentral:lncRNA from 1 species